rnacentral:rRNA from 1 species
UGCAGACGUGCGAUAGGGGGACUCCGAGUGCGAGGGCAUAGAGCCCUCGCUUUUCUGUACCGUAAGGUGGUACAGGAAGAAGGGCUGGGCAAGACCGGUGCCAGCCGCCGCGGUAAUACCGGCAGCCCAAGUGAUGGCCGAUAUUAUUGGGCCUAAAGCGUCCGUAGCUGGCCGGACAAGUCCGUUGGGAAAUCCGCACGCUUAACGUGCGGGCGUCCAGCGGAAACUGUCCGGCUUGGGACCGGAAGACCCGAGGGGUACGUCCGGGGUAGGAGUGAAAUCCUGUAAUCUCGGACGGACCACCUGUGGCGAAAGCGCCUCGGGAAGACGGAUCCGACAGUGAGGGACGAAAGCCAGGGUCUCGAACCGGAUUAGAUACCCGGGUAGUCCUGGCCGUAAACGAUGUCCGCUAGGUGUGACGCAGGCUACGAGCCUGCGUUGUGCCGUAGGGAAGCCGUGAAGCGGACCGCCUGGGAAGUACGUCUGCAAGGAUGAAACUUAAAGGAAUUGGCGGGGGAGCAC